AUACUCUUUAUACUCUUCAGACCAUAUAAAUAUUUAACAUUUUACUGAAAGAUAUCCAUGGACAGCAAGAACUUUCAGUCUAAACCAAAUUUUUUGAGGCCUUGGGAAAGCAAGGCU
ensembl:snRNA U5 U5 spliceosomal RNA